rnacentral:rRNA from 1 species
AGGGCGCACGGUGGAUGCCUUGACACUAGGAGUCGAUGAAGGACGGGACUAACGCCGAUAUGCUUCGGGGAGCUGUAAGUAAGCUUUGAUCCGAAGAUUUCCGAAUGGGGAAACCCACCAUACGUAAUGGUAUGGUAUCCUUAUCUGAAUACAUAGGGUAAGGAAGACAGACCCAGGGAACUGAAACAUCUAAGUACCUGGAGGAAGAGAAAGCAAAUGCGAUUUCCUGAGUAGCGGCGAGCGAAACGGAACAUAGCCCAAACCAAGAGGCUUGCCUCUUGGGGUUGUAGGACAUUCUAUACGGAGUUACAAAGGAACGAGGUAGACGAAGCGACCUGGAAAGGUCCGUCGUAGAGGGUAACAACCCCGUAGUCGAAACUUCGUUCUCUCUUGAAUGUAUCCUGAGUACGGCGGAACACGUGAAAUUCCGUCGGAAUCUGGGAGGACCAUCUCCCAAGGCUAAAUACUCCCUAGUGAUCGAUAGUGAACCAGUACCGUGAGGGAAAGGUGAAAAGCACCCCGGAAGGGGAGUGAAAGAGAUCCUGAAACCGUGUGCCUACAAAUAGUCAGAGCCCGUUAACGGGUGAUGGCGUGCCUUUUGUAGAAUGAACCGGCGAGUUACGAUCCCGUGCGAGGUUAAGCUGAAGAGGCGGAGCCGCAGCGAAAGCGAGUCUGAAUAGGGCGUUUAGUACGUGGUCGUAGACCCGAAACCAGGUGAUCUACCCAUGUCCAGGGUGAAGUUCAGGUAACACUGAAUGGAGGCCCGAACCCACGCACGUUGAAAAGUGCGGGGAUGAGGUGUGGGUAGCGGAGAAAUUCCAAUCGAACCUGGAGAUAGCUGGUUCUCCCCGAAAUAGCUUUAGGGCUAGCCUUAAGUGUAAGAGUCUUGGAGGUAGAGCACUGAUUGGACUAGGGGUCCUCAUCGGAUUACCGAAUUCAGUCAAACUCCGAAUGCCAAUGACUUAUCCUUAGGAGUCAGACUGCGAGUGAUAAGAUCCGUAGUCAAAAGGGAAACAGCCCAGACCGCCAGCUAAGGUCCCAAAGUGUGUAUUAAGUGGAAAAGGAUGUGGAGUUGCUUAGACAACUAGGAUGUUGGCUUAGAAGCAGCCACCAUUUAAAGAGUGCGUAAUAGCUCACUAGUCGAGUGACUCUGCGCCGAAAAUGUACCGGGGCUAAAUACACCACCGAAGCUGCGGAUUGAUACCAAUGGUAUCAGUGGUAGGGGAGCGUUCUAAGGACAGUGAAGUCAGACCGUAAGGACUGGUGGAGUGCUUAGAAGUGAGAAUGCCGGUAUGAGUAGCGAAAGACGGGUGAGAAUCCCGUCCACCGAAUGCCUAAGGUUUCCUGAGGAAGGCUCGUCCGCUCAGGGUUAGUCAGGACCUAAGCCGAGGCCGACAGGCGUAGGCGAUGGACAACAGGUUGAUAUUCCUGUACCACCUCUUUAUCGUUUGAGCAAUGGAGGGACGCAGAAGGAUAGAAGAAGCGUGCGAUUGGUUGUGCACGUCCAAGCAGUUAGGCUGAUAAGUAGGCAAAUCCGCUUAUCGUAAAGGCUGAGCUGUGAUGGGGAAGCUCCUUAUGGAGCGAAGUCUUUGAUUCCCCGCUGCCAAGAAAAGCUUCUAGCGAGAUAAAAGGUGCCUGUACCGCAAACCGACACAGGUAGGCGAGGAGAGAAUCCUAAGGUGUGCGAGAGAACUCUGGUUAAGGAACUCGGCAAAAUGACCCCGUAACUUCGGGAGAAGGGGUGCUUUCUUAACGGAAAGCCGCAGUGAAUAGGCCCAAGCGACUGUUUAGCAAAAACACAGCUCUCUGCGAAGCCGUAAGGCGAAGUAUAGGGGGUGACACCUGCCCGGUGCUGGAAGGUUAAGGAGAGGGGUUAGCGUAAGCGAAGCUCUGAACUGAAGCCCCAGUAAACGGCGGCCGUAACUAUAACGGUCCUAAGGUAGCGAAAUUCCUUGUCGGGUAAGUUCCGACCCGCACGAAAGGUGUAACGAUUUGGGCACUGUCUCAACCAGAGACUCGGUGAAAUUAUAGUACCUGUGAAGAUGCAGGUUACCCGCGACAGGACGGAAAGACCCCGUGGAGCUUUACUGUAGCCUGAUAUUGAAUUUUGGUACAGUUUGUACAGGAUAGGCGGGAGCCAUUGAAACCGGAGCGCUAGCUUCGGUGGAGGCGCUGGUGGGAUACCGCCCUGACUGUAUUGAAAUUCUAACCUACGGGUCUUAUCGACCCGGGAGACAGUGUCAGGUGGGCAGUUUGACUGGGGCGGUCGCCUCCUAAAGUGUAACGGAGGCGCCCAAAGGUUCCCUCAGAAUGGUUGGAAAUCAUUCGUAGAGUGCAAAGGCAUAAGGGAGCUUGACUGCGAGACCUACAAGUCGAGCAGGGACGAAAGUCGGGCUUAGUGAUCCGGUGGUUCCGCAUGGAAGGGCCAUCGCUCAACGGAUAAAAGCUACCCCGGGGAUAACAGGCUUAUCUCCCCCAAGAGUCCACAUCGACGGGGAGGUUUGGCACCUCGAUGUCGGCUCAUCGCAUCCUGGGGCUGUAGUCGGUCCCAAGGGUUGGGCUGUUCGCCCAUUAAAGCGGUACGCGAGCUGGGUUCAGAACGUCGUGAGACAGUUCGGUCCCUAUCCGUCGUGGGCGUAGGAAAUUUGAGAGGAGCUGUCCUUAGUACGAGAGGACCGGGAUGGACGCACCGCUGGUGUACCAGUUGUUCUGCCAAGGGCAUAGCUGGGUAGCUAUGUGCGGAAGGGAUAAGUGCUGAAAGCAUCUAAGCAUGAAGCCCCCUCAAGAUGAGAUUUCCCAUAGCGUAAGCUAGU